rnacentral:lncRNA from 1 species
GACCAACUCCAGUUGAAAUAGUGCUACAUAAGACCAAUUCCACAAAUAAUGUACAGAAGUAGUAGAGCAAGCGCAACAAAGUAUCACUAAUAAACAUAUAAAUGGGAGUCUUCUUCACAGAAUGCAGACCUUGCUCGCAAUCAGUCAUGAUACAUAUGAUAGGGUACGUACUCUGAUUACAUAGCAUCCCAAUUAAUCCAUCACACUCUACAAGUUUUUUUGCGGGUACACUCUACAAGUUAUAACAAAGAUAGUUACUAGAAUUGCAAGUAGGGAAUGCAGCUCUCUUCUCUUCAUUGCUGGAGCCUUUGUCCAUCCAAAAGCUCCCACAUAUCCUUUUUCUUCACAUGGCAAACCUGUUUCAGAGAAAGCAGAGGAGGUUCAGGAUAGCGGCACACAAAUUUCCUUGCUGGAAUCUGAACAUUACAUAGCAGGUUCACAAAUGUACUACUCAUAUUGCGGCACACAACUCCAAAACAGCAGCUUCUUAAGCUCAUGAUUUAGAUGCUGUGUAAAUUAAGCAUGCUAGGUCAGUUCUGAACUACAUAUGGCAAUCUCACUCCAAAUAUGUGCAUAUUUUAACUGCUGAAAUUAAUACUCCAAAUACAUGCAAUGCAACCUCCAGAAAUGUGAGAACACAACACCUAGGCAUGACAUCUGCAAUUACAACUCACUGGCUACGAAUACAUCGGUUCACGGUAAUAGUAAAUCACAGAAGAAAUCUUAUCACAAAUAACAAAACCACUCAAUCUACUAGACGUGACAAAUACAUCUGCAAUGGGUGUGACAUCUGCUUUAUAACUACCGUAAACUGAAUCUAAUCUUACCAAAACCGCAAUGGGUGUGAUAUCUACUUGGACACUUGGAGGUGUUUGGACCAUCGAUCAGCAUUAUUGACUUGUUGAUUUUCAGAAACUAGAUGAUUUUUAGAUCAUUAAUUCAGAAACUUGUUGAUUUUUAUAUAAGUGAUUUCAGAACAUAGCAAACAAAUUCAGAAACUGCAAAGCGAUCAGGCCGGUUCCACUAUCACCUACACCUACACGCGUGCGGAAUGUGACUUUGAAUGUCUGAAUGGAACAAAUUCAGACAUUCAUUGAUGGAUGACUAUGUGGUUUACUGUGCACAUGCAAUGCAAAAGAGAGAACAAAGAAAGAAUGGCAUGAAAUACAGAAGUACAGAACCUGAAUAUUCUGACGGAUGAAUAUCUUUGAAUGUCUGAAUUUGUUCCAUUGUCGCCUACACGCGUGUGGAAUCGUCAGAGGCAGACGGCGGCGCAGGGGGCUGGGAGGGAUACUCGUCCUGGGCGAGAAUCGACGGUUAUAGAUAACGGGGUCAGAGGAUGUACAUGAAAAAACAGGGCCGUCCUCGGCGGCGGCGGCGGAAGAUUAAGCCCCGGGGUUACCUUCCUAUGGAUUGGGUCGCCGGCGUUGAUGGCCGUCAGUGGCUGAUCCAGGGAGGAGGCGCUGCCGUGGGGAGCGCCUAUUCGACGGGGCGAUGCUCGGGGCGCUGGGGCAGCAGAGGAGAGCAGGCGGCUGCGGCUGUGCGAGGGUCGGCGACGGACGGCGGCACGAGCGACAGGAGGGACGCCGGCGGCACCACGAUCGAGGGCAGGGUUGGCGGCGGCGCCUGUGCGAGGGGAUUGAGGAGCCUAACAACGACGAAGGCUGUACCAGGGAUUGAC